ACUGCCAGCAGAUGGCACUGCAGCGCGGCUUCUGACGGGACACGUGACUCUUGUUUUGGUUUGUUCGCUUCCUGUUUAGACAUUGGCUUAUGUGCGAGGGUAUAGCUUAAUUUGAGCCAGGUGUCCAUGUUUAGCUUGAUUAUGUUGAUUAUUUAAACCCCUCGGUGACUGCACACUUUGCGCAGUCUUAUACUUUGUACCAAAUGUCUGACGAUAGUGAACGCAUUAGCAUGCUAAGCGGUCUUAGUGUCAUGUUUGAAGCCAGAUUUGGCUAGACCGUGUUUCCUUGUGUUUGGUUGCUUGCUUGGUUUAUCAAUAAAGACUUUGCUCUACACCUGCAUCCGCUUCCAGUCCCGUUCCGUGACAUAAUACUGCGCCCCGAGCAUGGAAGCAGCAGAUCAACGUGAGCACCGAGUUCGAGAAGUUGGGCCGAUCGUUCUGGGAAGAGAGUAAGCGUAUCGACAAAAGACUUGCCCAGAUCGAUCGCCAGCUAAUGCAACGAGGGCUGCUGCAGCAAGCCGGCCCAUGCGCCAUAUCGCCACCCGCGCAAUUUCCCACGUCCCGGCUGCCGGAGAGUUAUGCCGUGCCGCGUGGGUAACAGAGCUACUCGAACUCCUGGAGCUUCCCACUUUAGGGGAAUUAUACUACGCCAUGCAGCCAGUAAAGAUACCCGUCCUCCUGGAGCCUCCCACUGCAGGGGAAUUGCACCACGCUGCCCAGCCCAGAACCGAAGGCUAGCCUAGAACUUAUUUUGGGUGGGGGUCAAUGACGACAGCAGAGCUCCAGCGUGAGGCCUAUGGGGAGGCCUCAGCUGUGGAGCUCCCGCCUGAGGUCAACAUGGCAACCUCAGAGCUACAGCUUGAGGCCUACGGGGAGGUCUCUGCUGUGUAGCUCCUGCACGUCAAAGAAGCUGUCCCGCCGCCCUGCCCUAAGGUUACUCAAAUAGUCACUAUUUACAAACGUGGUGGGGAGAAAAGCAUCUCAGAACACACAUCACGUCGAAACUUGAGGUUUGUGGGCAACAACAGCCUCUACUGAAGAACAGUGGUUACCAACUUUGUUCCUGGAGAUCCACCUUCCUGAAGACUUUAGCUCCAACCAUAAGGGUGCCCACCUGAUAAUCUAAUCUCUGCCUUAAGAAGUUCUUGAUCAGCUAAAACAGGGGGAAAUGCCUUGUUGAUGAGAGUGGUCAGAGGAGACAGAAGGUUUGAGAUGACAUGAAGGUUAAGGUACCUCAAAUAAUCGCUCUUUAAAACUGCAGUGAGCAGUAAAGCAUCUUAGAAUGCAUAACACAUCAAAUCUUGAGGCAGAUGGGCCACAAUAGCAGAAGACCACAUCAGGUUUACUCCCAAAAACAGGAAUCCGAGAUUACAGCAGGCACAGGAUCAUCAGGCAACUAUUCAACCAGAAUGCUGAUAUCUGGAUGUUUUUGUUGUUGUUUUGUUUAGCUUUGUUUUUCACAAGAUUCUGUGUCAUGUACAGUAUGUAAUUAUCUAAAUUACUAAAUAAGCAGCUGUUUUGGAAGUGAAUAUUUUGGGAUGUUACCAAGUCCUCUGAGAUUUUCAGACUGUUUUUAGAGAUAAUAAAAAACUUUUAAGUUAUAUAAUAACUCCAUAUACUAUAGUACACAUAACUAGCAAUAACUCAUGUGCCAAUAGGUGACAGUAGAGCCCAGUAAAUGUUCAACAUGUCUCAGCAUAGGGAAAAACUAGCAGGGAAAUCAAAU
ensembl:lncRNA